CUCCCUACAUCUCUCUCCCUCUCCGCCGUCCCCUUCCUCCCUCCCCUCUCCUCCUCUCCCCUCCCCUCUCUCCCUCCUUCUCCUUUCUCUUCGUCUAUCAUGUGCUCGGGAUAUGCUCAUGCUUUGCACAGAGCAGCUGUAGCACGCCUAAAUGCAGGCUACUGAGUGUUAGCGGCAAUUUUAAAGUGAUGCUGCCCCCCCCGCCAUAACUAAGUAAUACGGCCGGGAUAUUUGAGGGGAACGUAACACCCGCACCACGGUACACGCGGACCCAACUGAGCGCCCGCUGCCUCUUCUUCUCCUGCUUUGCUUUGGGACGCUUUCUGAUCGAUUGCAGUGAUUUGACUCACCUUUAGGAAUGAUGGAGAAAAGGAGCUGUGGAGGACUGCAGAUAGCAAGAAGUAGAGGUCAACAUCAGAUCUCUGGGAUUUUGCUCUCCACUGGACCCACAUGAGGUUGAAUGGAGACCUCGUAGAUUGUGACCCAGAAACAAAUGGCAUAACGACUGGAGUCUCCGGGCUAAAGACGUCAAGGAUAUUCAGCUGAUCUCAGAGGAAAAUGAGGCUUCCUGAUCAACUAGAGAGGAGUCUGAAUUUCACCAACAUCUGGUUAAAUGAGAUUGUUGACCAAACUGAAGAAUGCCCUUCACUGUAACCUGAAAAUAGCAAUUCCAAUACCUACUGUGACCCUGCUUGCACUAAAAGGCAUCAAUGAUACAUAUAUAUUUUAUUUUCAUAUGGGAGAAUACUUCCAAAAAUAAGAUGAAAAAUAUUCUACACAUUGAAACUUGUGUUUAUUUCAUGCAAUUGAUUGAGUCUAACAAGUAUAUCUUUUGACAGCUAAAUAAAAGCAUUUUUUCCCUUU